rnacentral:rRNA from 1 species
UUAAGCGACUAAGCGUACACGGUGGAUGCCCUGGCAGUCAGAGGCGAUGAAGGACGUGCUAAUCUGCGAUAAGCGUCGGUAAGGUGAUAUGAACCGUUAUAACCGGCGAUUUCCGAAUGGGGAAACCCAGUGUGUUUCGACACACUAUCAUUACGUGAAUACAUAGCGUAAUGAAGCGAACCGGGGGAACUGAAACAUCUAAGUACCCCGAGGAAAAGAAAUCAACCGAGAUUCCCCCAGUAGCGGCGAGCGAACGGGGAGCAGCCCAGAGUCUGAAUCAGCUUGUGUGUUAGUGGAACGGUCUGGAAAGUCCGACGGUACAGGGUGAUAGUCCCGUACACCAAAAUGCACAGGUUGUGAACUCGAAGAGUAGGGCGGGACACGUGGUAUCCUGUCUGAAUAUGGGGGGACCAUCCUCCAAGGCUAAAUACUCCUGACUGACCGAUAGUGAACCAGUACCGUGAGGGAAAGGCGAAAAGAACCCCGGCGAGGGGAGUGAAAAAGAACCUGAAACCGUGUACGUACAAGCAGUGGGAGCCUCUUUAUGGGGUGACUGCGUACCUUUUGUAUAAUGGGUCAGCGACUUAUAUUCUGUAGCAAGGUUAACCGUAUAGGGGAGCCGAAGGGAAACCGAGUCUUAACUGGGCGUUAAGUUGCAGGGUAUAGACCCGAAACCCGGUGAUCUAGCCAUGGGCAGGUUGAAGGUUGGGUAACACUAACUGGAGGACCGAACCGACUAAUGUUGAAAAAUUAGCGGAUGACUUGUGGCUGGGGGUGAAAGGCCAAUCAAACCGGGAGAUAGCUGGUUCUCCCCGAAAGCUAUUUAGGUAGCGCCUCGUGAACUCAUCUUCGGGGGUAGAGCACUGUUUCGGCUAGGGGGUCAUCCCGACUUACCAACCCGAUGCAAACUGCGAAUACCGAAGAAUGUUAUCACGGGAGACACACGGCGGGUGCUAACGUCCGUCGUGAAGAGGGAAACAACCCAGACCGCCAGCUAAGGUCCCAAAGUCAUGGUUAAGUGGGAAACGAUGUGGGAAGGCACAGACAGCCAGGAUGUUGGCUUAGAAGCAGCCAUCAUUUAAAGAAAGCGUAAUAGCUCACUGGUCGAGUCGGCCUGCGCGGAAGAUGUAACGGGGCUAAACCAUGCACCGAAGCUGCGGCAGCGACACUAUGUGUUGUUGGGUAGGGGAGCGUUCUGUAAGCCGUUGAAGGUGUACUGUGAGGUAUGCUGGAGGUAUCAGAAGUGCGAAUGCUGACAUAAGUAACGAUAAUGCGGGUGAAAAACCCGCACGCCGGAAGACCAAGGGUUCCUGUCCAACGUUAAUCGGGGCAGGGUGAGUCGACCCCUAAGGCGAGGCCGAAAGGCGUAGUCGAUGGGAAACAGGUUAAUAUUCCUGUACUUGGUGUUACUGCGAAGGGGGGACGGAGAAGGCUAUGUUAGCCGGGCGACGGUUGUCCCGGUUUAAGCAUGUAGGCGGAGGUUCCAGGUAAAUCCGGUACCUUUUUAACGCUGAGGUGUGAUGACGAGGCACUACGGUGCUGAAGUAACAAAUGCCCUGCUUCCAGGAAAAGCCUCUAAGCAUCAGGUAACACGAAAUCGUACCCCAAACCGACACAGGUGGUCAGGUAGAGAAUACCAAGGCGCUUGAGAGAACUCGGGUGAAGGAACUAGGCAAAAUGGUGCCGUAACUUCGGGAGAAGGCACGCUGAUAUGUAGGUGAAGUGAUUUACUCAUGGAGCUGAAAUCAGUCGAAGAUACCAGCUGGCUGCAACUGUUUAUUAAAAACACAGCACUGUGCAAACACGAAAGUGGACGUAUACGGUGUGACGCCUGCCCGGUGCCGGAAGGUUAAUUGAUGGGGUUAUCCGUAAGGAGAAGCUCUUGAUCGAAGCCCCGGUAAACGGCGGCCGUAACUAUAACGGUCCUAAGGUAGCGAAAUUCCUUGUCGGGUAAGUUCCGACC